CGGGUGUGCUCAGAGCAGGGGGCCUGAAGAAUGACUGCUCCCAAGGCACCCGACAGGAACUUGGGGUCGUUGUGACGAGGGGCACGGAACACUUGUGGCCUUCCUAGGAACAAAUGCCCUAUGCCC
ensembl:snoRNA